rnacentral:rRNA from 1 species
GGAGGGUGCAAGCGUUAUCCGGAUUCACUGGGUUUAAAGGGUGCGUAGGUGGGUUGGUAAGUCAGUGGUGAAAUCCCCGAGCUUAACUUGGGAACUGCCAUUGAUACUAUCAGUCUUGAAUACCGUGGAGGUCAGCGGAAUAUGUCAUGUAGCGGUGAAAUGCUUAGAUAUGACAUAGAACACCAAUUGCGAAGGCAGCUGGCUACACGAGUAUUGACACUGAGGCACGAAAGCGUGGGGAUCAAACAGGAUUAGAUACCCUGGUAGUCCACGCCCUAAACUAUGGAUACUCGACAUUUGCGAUACACUGCAAGUGUCUGAGCGAAAGCAUUAAGUAUCCCACCUGGGAAGUACGAUCGCAAGAUUGAA